UACGUAGGGUGCGAGCGUUAAUCGGAAUUACUGGGCGUAAAGCGUGCGCAGGCGGUUUUGUAAGCCAGAUGUGAAAUCCCCGGGCUUAACCUGGGAAUGGCAUUUGGGACUGCAAGGCUUGAGUGCGGCAGAGGAGACUGGAAUUCCUGGUGUAGCAGUGAAAUGCGUAGAUAUCAGGAGGAAUACCGAUGGCGAAGGCAGGUCUCUGGGCCUUACCUGACGCUGAGGCGCGAAAGCGUGGGGAGCAAACAGG
rnacentral:rRNA from 1 species